AUGGGCCGCAGCUCCCUUUCCCGGCAUCCCUCCCAUCCUACUCUGCAGGCGGCCAGCUCAGUAGAGAUGGAUGCGUACCCUCCGGAGCCGAAGAACUACUGGGUCCAGGAGAGCUGGCUUGCUGCUGACUGGGACGGCCAUUCCAGCCGGCUCUUCUGUUGUUUUCAGCACAAAGCACUGAGCUCCCAGGAGACCACGUCACCAGUCAGAAGGUUGCUUGGUGAGUAGGAAGUCAGAGCAAAGGGUGUUGGAGAGUCUGGGGGGACAUCUCCUUCUCUCACAGGGUCUGUUACCCCGGCAGUGCUGGAUCUGCCCUGCCAACCUCUUUGCUUGUUUGUUUUGUCUUUUGUCUUUUCAGAGCUGCAUCUGUGGCAUAGGGAGGUUCCCAGGCCAGGGGUCUAAUUGGAGCUGUUUCUGCUGGCCUACACCAGAGCCACCGCAAUGCCAGAUCUGAGCCUCGUCCGUGACCUACACUGCAGCUCAUGGCAAUGCGGGAUCCUUAACCCACUGAGCGAGGCCAGGGAUCAAACCCGAAACCUCAUGGCUCCUAGACGGAUUUGUUUCCGCUGUGCCAAGACGGGAACUUCUGUUUGUUUUUUAGGGCCUACCCAUGGCAUAUGGAAGAUCCCAGGCUAGGGGUCGAAUCAGAGCUGCAGCUGCCAGUCUACGCCACAGCCACAGCAACUCAGGAUCCUGAACCCAUGGAGAGAGGGAGGGAUCAAACCCACGUCCUCAUGGAUUCUAGUCAGGUUCCUUACCACUGAGCCAUGACGGGAACUCUCUCUGACUUCUUGAUCCUUGGCACUUUCCUUGCCCCAGCCCCUACCCUCCAUUUUUUUUCUUCUUCUUUUUAUUUGAUUGGGGGAAAUUCACAUAACAUGAGUCCAUUCAUCCUUCAGUGGACGCUGGGUUGUUUCCACCUCUAGGCAGUUGUGAAUACUGCUGCGACUCGUGUGUGUGCAUGCCUCUGAGUGCCUGUUCUAAAUGUCUGCAGGUAUGGUUCCAGGAGUGGAGGAAUUGCUGGGUCAGAUGGUAAUUUCUACACUUAAUUUUUUUUUAUUCUAUGAUUUUAAUUUUUUCCAUUGUAGUUGAUUUACAAUGUAAUGACAAUUGCUGCUGUACAGCAACGUGACUUAGUCAUACACAUAUAUAUAUUCUUUUUCUCACAUUAUCCUCCAUCCUGCUCCAUCACAAGUGACUAGAUAGAGUUCCCAGUGCUAUACAGCAG
rnacentral:lncRNA from 1 species